rnacentral:misc_RNA from 1 species
UCUCCGUUGGUGAACCAGCGGAGGGAUCAUUACCGAGUGCAAACUCAUAACCCUUUGUGAACCUAUAUCUGUUGCUUCGGCGGCUCGCUCUCGGGCGAGCCCGCCGGUAAUAUCAGUAUCUCUGUUUGAACCCGACGAUACUACUGAGUGUUCUUAGCGAACAGUUAAAACUUUUAACAACGGAUCUCUUGGCUCUA